rnacentral:other from 1 species
CGUUCCCUGCGGUGUUCGAUGCGGAUUGGAUAGUCUUUCGACCCUAAAUCUUGACCUCGGGGUUGUGCCCUGUCGGUGGCGUUGAGCAGAUCCGGCGUAGCCGGAAAGCCUGCAACCAUCACGGCUUACCCCACCUUUUGCUCUGGUUCGAGAGCAACCAUCUGCAACGGCACAGGCGGGGAGCGC